rnacentral:rRNA from 1 species
UGCGCAGGCGGUUUAUUAAGACAGAUGUGAAAUCCCCGGGCUUAACCUGGGAACUGCAUUUGUGACUGGUAGGCUAGAGUGUAGCAGAGGGGGGUAGAAUUCCACGUGUAGCAGUGAAAUGCGUAGAGAUGUGGAGGAAUACCGAUGGCGAAGGCAGCCCCCUGGGUUAACACUGACGCUCAUGCACGAAAGCGUGGGGAGCAAACAGGAUUAGAUACCCUGGUAGUCCACGCCCUAAGCGAUGUCAGCUAGGUGUUGGGGGGAGGAGACUUCCUUAGUACCGCAGCUAACGCGUGAAGUUGACCGCCUGGGGAGUACGGCCGCAAGGUUGAA